UGAGUGGCAUCCAGUAUUUUUGAGUGGCAUCCAGUAUUCUAAGUGGUGUUUAGCACUCAGUGUGGCUGCCAGCUAUAAAAGCUAGCCAGCGAAUAAAGCUUAAAGUAUUUUUUAAAAAUUCCGGGUGGAAAACCCAGCCAGUGCUGCCACAAGUUGCCGCCAAAGGCGCAUCUUAUUGGUUCGGCCAAUUUACUGGAGGAUUUACCACCUCAAGAAGGCCAAAAUCAAAUCUCGGGGCCCAAUCGUCAGGUUGGCCCGCGAGGAAUGAUUUGGAGAGAUUAGUGCCCUGAAGUACCCCUAUCUACUAUCUACCUAUCUACGGGCUAUGUAGUGCCUUUCAAGAAGUGCAGUUUUACUUAGAGCGGAUCCGAUGGCAGUUUAAUUCAAUUACAUAACCUGUCCCGAUGCCCAUCAUGCCACGCAUCCGUACACCAGCCGAGUUUUAAGGGGUGCGCGUAGCCGUCUGGGAGGCUUCCGAGUGAAAUAUCGCUGCCGCAGAUUUAGGGAUUUAUACCCGAUUAUGUUGUAAAAGCGCCGCGUGUGUGAACGGCCUUAACCUAGCCAACCGGGUUUAACCUUAAUGGAGAUAAAAACCCUCUUUGGAUCUGGAUCAGUCCUAACCCUGUUAUAUAACCAACGCGCUUUGAGAAACCGAAUUUAAGAAUUAAUGUGAAAAGAAAAUCAAUGAAAUCAAAGAUAUGUAAGCCAUAAAACAAACAGCAACUUUUUUCUAAAGCCUCAAGUGGCAACACCAUGUAAAGCAAUAGU